AAAGUGAGUGAUGCACGCAGAGCAUGGAUGAAGAGUCCUGAAGUAUUGGAAAAUUGCUCAAUAGGGUUUCAUUUCCCAUCCCAACCUGAAGAAAAGCGUCAGGAAAAGGUGAAACAACUAAAGUUGUUGCGUUUCUAUGGAGCUCAUUACUAGAAUUAGAACGUGGAACAUCGGCCUGCGAAGGUGGGUAAUGAAGGAGCAAUUGUAAGCUAUUGUGGAUAAGUACAAUGAGAUUGUAUAUAUACCUGUUGACUGUUGUGGUGAUCUAGUCUAACACAGGUCUACAUACUGACAUCAUCUGCAUUGUAAAUUAAAUCUUACUAUUCUCCAAUGCAUAUAUGUAUUUUAUAA